rnacentral:rRNA from 1 species
GACAGAGGUGCCAAGCGUUAGGCGGAAUCACUGGGCUUAAAGCGUGUGUAGGCGGAUCGUUAAGUACCUUGUGAAAUCCCACGGCUCAACCGUGGAACUGCUUGGCAUACUGGCGGUCUUGAGCAACCUAGGGGCGAGCGGAACAAAUGGUGGAGCGGUGAAAUGCGUAGAUAUCUGGAGGACCAUCAGUGGCGAAGGCGGCCCUCUGGUCCAGUACUGACACUCAAGUGCGAAAGCGUGGGGAGCAAACAGG